GCGACCUCAGAUCAGACGAGAACACCCACUGAGUUUAAGCAUAUAAUUAAGCGGAGGAAAAGAAUCUUACAAGGAUUUCCCUAGUAACGGCGAGCGAACGGGAAGAGCCCAGUAUCAAAAUCGGGUGCCAGCAUUGCCUGAAUUGUAGUCUGUAGAAGCGUCCUCAGCGGUAGACCUGGGCCAAAUCCCUUGGAAGGGGGCCCCUGAGAGGGUGAUUUCUCCGUCAGGCCGGGACCCUGCCGCAUCACGAGGCAUUGUCGACGAGUCAGGGUGUUUGGGAAUGCAGCCCUAAUUGGGUGGUAAAUUCCAUCCAAGGCUAAAUACGAGCAAGAGACCGAUAACAAAUAAGUACCGCAAGGGAAAGAUGAAAAAGACUUUGAAAAGAGAGUUAAGAGUGCUUGAAAUUGUCGGGAGGGAAGUGGAUGGAGGUUGUCGAUGCGUCUCGGUCGGCUGUGGAACGGCUCAGGCUAGUCUGCCGCUCAACUUGAGGUGCAAACCAACACAAGCUGCUACAUCGUCACAAGCGCAGCUGGCUUACUACCUGUUGAUUUGUUGUAGCGAUGGUCAACGAACGAAGCGUGUACCCUUGUGGCGGGUCGUGUGCACCUGCACGCUCAUGGUGUUGGUUGGUGGGCUUUCCAUUCGACCCAUCUUGAAACACCGACCAAGGAGUCUAACAUGUGUGCGAGUCGGUGAGUUUGAAAACCUCCAAGGCGCAAGGAAGCUGACGGGCGAGAUCCCCUCUCUGGGGGGUUGCAUCGUCAACCGAACUUGAGCUUAGCGAAGGGUUCGAGUGCGAGCACACCUGUUGGGACCCGAAAGAUGGUGAACUAUGCUUGAGCAGGGGAAACUCUAGCGGAGGCUCGUAGCGAUACUGAUGUGCAAAUCGUUCGUCUAACUUGGGUAUAGGGGCGAAAGGCUAAUCGAACCAUCUAGUAACUGGUUUCCUCCAAAGUUUCCCUUGAGCUGGAGCUCACACACGAGUUUUAUCGGGUAAAGCAAAUGAUUAGAGGCAUCGAGGGCGUAACGCCCUCAACCUAUUGUCAAACUUUAAAUAGGUAAGAGGGUGUGGCUGGUCCAUUGAGCCAUGCCAUGGAAUCGAGAGCUCCAAGUGAGCCAUUUUUGGUAAGCAGAACUGGCGAUGCAAGAUGAACCGAAAGGUUGUUGGUUGUUUAAGACAACAAGGCAGUGGUCAUGGAAGUCGAAAUCCGCUAAGGAGUGUGUAACAACUCACCUGCCGAAUCAACUAGCCCCGAAAAUGGAUGGCGCUGAAGCACGCAACCUAUCCUCGACCGUCGGAGCAAUUUUCGAGCUCCGAUGAGUAGGAGGACGCAGGGGUCGUUGAGAAACCUCGGGUGUGAGCUUGGGUGGAUCGGCGCCCAGUGCAGAUCUUGGUGGUAAUAGCAAAUAUUCAAAUGAGAACUUUGAAGACUGAAGUGGGGAAGGUUCCAUGUGAACAGCACUUGGACAUGGUUUAGUUGAUCCUAAAAGAUGGGGAAGCCUUGUAUCAAGGGUGCACUCUGCACGAGCAUCGAAAGGGAAUCGAGUUAAGAUUCCCGAACCGGGACAUGGCGGCGGGCGGCAACAUUAGCAAAUUCGGAGACGUCGUCGAGGGCCCCGGGAAGAGUUAUCUUUUCAUUUUAAGAGCUUGCCCACCCUGGAAUCGGUUCACCCAGAGAUAGGGUCCAGCAGCUGGAAAAGCACCACACAUCUUGCGGUGUCUGGUGCGCCCUCGGCGACACUUGAAAAUCUGGAGGACCGAGUACUGUUCAUGCCCAGUCGUACUAAUAACCGCAUCAGGUCUCCAAGGUGAACAGCGUUUGGUCAAUAGAACAAUGUAGGUAAGCGAAGUCGGCAAAAAGAACCCGUAACUUCAGGAAAAGGAUUGGCUCUGAGGGUUCGGCCUAGGGGUUUGCACCCUCAACUCGUGGGUUGUAGGCAAUCUGCCCAAGCUCCUCUCGAUGCGAGGGCGAGCAAUCGCAUGCUGAUUGGGCUAUGGGCGUAGAAUGCCCCCUACCGGGGGCUUUUCCCUAGGCGGCGAACAAUCGAUUCAAAACUGGUACAGACAAGGGGAAUCUGACUGUUUAAUUAAAACAAAGCAUUGCGAUGGUCCCUAUGGAUGCUGAGGCAAUGUGAUUUCUACCCAAUGCUCUGAAUGUCAAAGUAAAGAAAUUCAACCAAGCGAGGGUAAACGACAGGAAUAACUAUGACUCUCUUAAGGUAGCCAAAUGCCUCGCCAUCUAAUUAGUGACAUGCAUGAAUGGAUUAAUGAGAUUCCCAUUGUCUCUAUCUACUAUCUAGUGAAACCACAUCCAAGGGAAUGGGCUUGGUAGAAUUAGCGGGGAAAGAAGACCUUGUUGAGCUUGACUCUAGUCCGACUUUGUGAAAUGACUUGAGAGGUGUAGAAUAAGUGGGAGCCGAUUUCGGCCCAAGUGAAAGACCACUACUUUUAACGUUAUUUUACUUAUCCCGUGGGGCAUAGACGAGGCACUCCCCCUAUUUUUGGCCUUAAGGCACGUUUCAACAGGUCGAUCCAAGUGGAAGACAUUGUCAGGUGGGGAGUUUGGUUGGGGUGGCACAUCUGUUAAAAGAUAACGCAAGUGUCCUAAGAUGAGCUCAACGAGAACAGAAAUCUCAUCUGGAACAAAAGGGUAAAAGCUCAUUUGAUUUUGAUUUUCAAUACGAAUACAAACAGUGAAAGCAUGGCCUAUCGAUCCUUUAGAUUUUCGGAGUUUGAGGCUAGAGGUGUCAAAAAAGUUACCACAUGGAUAAUUGGCUUGUGGCAGCCAAGCGUUCAUAGCGACGUUGCUUUUUUAUCCUUCAAUGCCUUCUCUUCCUAUCGUUUUGAAGCAAAAUUCACCAAGUGUUGGAUUGUUCACCCACAAUAGGGAACGUGAGCUGGGUUUAGAACAUCGUGAGAUAGGUUAGUUUUACCCUACUAAUGAACCGCAUUGCAAUAGUAAUUCAACUUAGUACCAGAGGAAUCGUUGAUUCACACAAUUGGUCAUCGCGCUUGGUUGAAAAGCUAGUGGCGUGAACCUACCAUGUGUCGGAUUAUGACUCAACACCUCUAAGUCAGAAUCCACGCCAAAAGCGGUGCAUGUCACUCUUCGACUGUAUCUCGACCCACAAUAGGGACGCCACUUUGUCGCCCCUAGGGGCCCGUGUCAUUUGCAAACCACGAUCAUGAAGCAUCUUGGUUGGGGCAGCUUUGAAGUCAAUUCCAAACGAUCGUUAAGAAGAAUCCUUU
rnacentral:rRNA from 1 species